ACUACGAAUGCACUGAGGAAGUAGUGGUGAUACGAUUCCUUAAAUAUCGACCUUGAAUUGAAUUGAAUUCGUCUCAUCGAAAAAGGUGUUUUCUUACAAUUACGUGAUGCAGCUCACAUAAUCAUAAUAUGCCGGUUUCGCGAAGACUGACGUAUCGUAUUACGUGAAAACAAUAGCGCAAAAAGUUUCAAGUGCAAAGUCAAUAGACGCAAAAACGAAUAAAGUUAGAUUGGCCAAGUUCGGUAUAUACUGUAGUAGGUAUUUAAUAUAGUCGACAAAGAGUGGUCCCCUUCAUAUAGGAUAGAUCCGUACAAGGUUUUAUUGGUGAAAAAAACUAUUGAUGAUAAACUAUAGUGCGAUAUGUAAUACUAUUUCACUUAGCAUUACUGUUAUCUUCUCUCAUAUUAUCCUAAUAGUACUUUUCAAUUACGAAGACUCGAAUAAACAAGGUCGUGGAUCACGACUUUUUCUUUCUCGAAUAACGCGACAGACGACAACUUAUUAAUUAUUGUACUGUUAAUGGAUUCGCUUCACUCGAGCCUGAUAACCGCGCUUUACGGAAAUCUCGGUAACCAAUACGCUCUUGUUUCAAAUACAAAAAAUGUUUAUGCACUCGAACUCGUUUUUUUUUUUUUUUUUUCGUAGAAUUUUUCUACCGUACUUCCCAUAAAUACAUUCAGCAGGAUAAACGAUAUUUUUUGGUGUACGUUCGAUAAAAAAAAAUAUGCGUCAGGACAGUGCAAAGACCUCGCAAGACCUACGCAGCAAUUGCAAUAGCGAUAACUCAAAACAAGUUUGUUCGGCGAACGACUAUGAUGAAACCAAGCGUGCUACGAAAAUGACUGGUUUAACGAACCAUCUAUAAUUCUAGGGGAAUAACGGGGAAAGUUUUCUACGAGAAAUAUCGACUUCUGCCGCCUUUCCUUGCAACCGAUUGGCAUUCAAUCUCGUUGCCAGACAAUAGAAGAGCAGCAAUGAAAAUAAAGAAAUAUUAGUCAGCUUCACAGAGAUCAAUAAGAAAUUGUGAUCCGUAUAUUCACAGACCUUGAGUGAAUGGCAACGCUUCUUUAGUCAGAAGUACGCGAGCUACGAGGCGAGUUAAGAAAUUAAGAAUGGAGAAAUCCCGAUGAAGAAAGAGACUAGGUAGGAAGUCUCGUAAAAGCUAGGCAGGUCGCUGGCUCGUAAAGAUAUAAAAAUGCGCAGGGUAAUGUUGGCAAUACAGGUUGAAGAAUUGAAGCACACCGUUAGGUUGUCUUACGCAUCGUCUCACUUGGAUCGGUUGACUGGGCAUGAUCUUUCGAUCUUCAAUAGCGAUGAUCGUUAAUCGCGAUGUGAUCAGUGUUCAUGAUGUUGAGCAUUCAUAAUUUAUAUGACGAAAUAUAAAACAGUGAUCGCUUAAAAUGAUACAGCGCUUGUUACCUAGAAUUUAUUUGCGCAACAGGGUGUUAAAUAUUUGUAAAUAUAUUCUAAAUAAUAUAUUGACUCAUCAGAGUUAUUAUGUGAGACAACAACGUCUCGUGCUUCAUAACAAUUGAAGAGAAUAUCGUUGAUAUUAAUAAUAACAACAGACUGCAAUUUCUCGAAUAUUAUAUGGACCUUCUCUUUUAUCAAGGAAGUAUGUAGAUCUUCCGGACGUAACAGCUCGUUAUGAUAAUUCAUUCAUUAUAUUCGUAUAUUUGACGUACAUUUCAUUCUAUUUUGUAUUUACGGUUCUUGCUUUAUCGCAGCAGUUGUUUAUACUAGGCUACCUUAUCUAAACGUAAAACUACUCCGAUUUCCUCUUCCUGUUGUGCGGUGAAUGCUGCUUUCUCGAAUUAAAAGUUGGAUACAGUUAAGAAAAGUUGUAAUCACUAG